rfam:Triticum aestivum genome assembly, contig: Triticum_aestivum_CS42_TGACv1_scaffold_129401_2BL
UUAAUACUCCCAUUAGUCCCAAAAUCCUUGUCUUAAAUUUGUCUAAAUACAGAUGUAUUAAGUCAUGUUUUAGUAUUAGAUACAUCCGUAUCUAGAUGAAUCUAAGACAAGAAUUUUGGGACGGAGGGAGUACGUA